GACGAAGGUGGCGAGCGUUGUUCGGAAUCACUGGGCAUAAAGCGUACGUAGGCGGUGACAUAAGUCGGGUGUGAAAUCCCUCGGCCUAACCGAGGAACUGCGCCCGAUACUGUGUUGCUUGAGGACCAGAGGGGUGCAUGGAAUUUCCGGUGGAGCGGUGAAAUGCGUUGAUAUCGAUAGGAACUCCGGUGGCGAAGGCGGCAUACUGGACCACCUCUGACGCUGAGGCGCGAAAGCCAGGGGAGCAAACGGG
rnacentral:rRNA from 1 species